GACUGUGCUAAGGUAGCAUAAUCAUUUGGCCUUUAAUUGGGGUCUGGCAUGAAAGGAAUGACUUUAGGAAUUACUGUCUCAAUUUUAUUAAUAUUAAUAUAAAUUUUUUUUAUGAGGUGAAAAUACCUCUAAUUUUUCAAAGAAAGACGAGAAGACCCUUAGACUUUUUAUUAAGAUAUUGUUAUUCAAUAUAAAUUUAUGUUGGGGCGACACCGAUUCAGCUAUAACUUAACAAUCGGAAUAAUUUAAUUUCAUAUAAAUCUAAAUUUUUAAUAUUAUUUAAGGUACCUGAGGGAUAACAGCAUAAUUAUUUAAAUACAUUGUGACCUCGAUGUUGGACUAGGA
rnacentral:rRNA from 1 species